rnacentral:rRNA from 1 species
UAGUCCACGCCGUAAACGAUGUCUACUAGCCGUUGGGGCCUUUGAGGCUUUAGUGGCGCAGCUAACGCGAUAAGUAGACCGCCUGGGGAGUACGGUCGCAAGACUAAAACUCAAAUGAAUUGACGGGGGCCCGCACAAGCGGUGGAGCAUGUGGUUUAAUUCGAUGCAACGCGAAGAACCUUACCUGGCCUUGACAUAGUAAGAACUUGUUAGAGAUAACUUGGUGCCUUCGGGAACUGAGUGACAGGUGCUGCAUGGCUGUCGUCAGCUCGUGUCGUGAGAUGUUGGGUUAAGUCCCGCAACGAGCGCAACCCUUGUCCCUAGUUGCCAGCACGUUAUGGUGGGAACUCUAGGGAGACUGCCGGUGACAAACCGGGAGGAAGGUGGGGAUGACGUCAAGUCAUCAUGGGCCCUUACGGGGUAGGGGCUACACACGUGCUAC